CAUGUUGGUUGAUGUUUCACUCUGAUAUUGCAGUAAAUAUUUAGUUGUAUCAUUGUGCAUCAUCUGGAUAACCCCAAAGUGUUCCUAAGGUAUAAUGAUUGAAUGUUUUGACAAGAAUAUGAACAUUCACUCUUAGUUAGUAAGAAACUGUGUAUGUGAGGUAUUUGUUUCCAUGUUAUUUUUUUUUUUAUUCUGAUUAUUUCCUCACUCUCAGGCUGUGUGAGCGGCAGGCUGGCCGUGAGCCUUCCUGGGAGUGCUGGGCGGCCUGGUGCCCCGGCUGAAGGCAAGCAGCCUCCCUGAGACACCCAAAGACUGGCUGACACAAGAUCUUGUGCUGGUACUGGUGUCUGAAGGCUGUGCAGUGGUGCGGACACAGGCUCAGAGUGCCCAGGUGGACCAAGAUGCUGGUUGCCGCCUGCCUGGGAGCAGACUCACAGAGGUCAGCGCGGGGCAGCAGGACAGCGCCCUCAGCAGUGACGAUGAGUCUCUCCAUGAAGGCUGCACAGCAGCAGGCCACCGUCGCCCGAGAGCAUCCCGAGGAACACUUCAAUGUCCAGGUGUGAGGAUGUCAAGCCACCACAAGCCAGGAGGA